UCUCUAUGAUGAUAUAACGCAGAUGAUGAGUCCGAUGUCCAUUCUAUUUAACCGUAUGGACAAUUGAAGCAUUUGACUGAGAGAA